CAGCAGCCACGGGAACACGAGGGGGGCUAGCGUUGUUCGGAAUCACUGGGCGUAAAGCGCACGUAGGCGGAUUUUUAAGUCAGGGGUGAAAUCCCGAGGCUCAACCUCGGAACUGCCUUUGAUACUGGAAAUCUUGAGUCCGGGAGAGGUGAGUGGAACUGCGAGUGUAGAGGUGAAAUUCGUAGAUAUUCGCGAGAACACCAGUGGCGAAGGCGGCUCACUGGCCCGGAACUGACGCUGAGGUGCGAAAGCGUGGGGAGCAAACAGGAUUAGAGACCCGGGUAGUCCCUGUCUUUAUACA
rnacentral:rRNA from 1 species